GUGGGGAAUUUUGGACAAUGGGCGCAAGCCUGAUCCAGCAAUGCCGCGUGCAGGAAGAAGGCCUUCGGGUUGUAAACUGCUUUUGUACGGAACGAAACGGUCCUGGUUAAUACCUGGGGCUAAUGACGGUACCGUAAGAAUAAGCACCGGCUAACUACGUGCCAGCAGCCGCGGUAAUACGUAGGGUGCGAGCGUUAAUCGGAAUUACUGGGCGUAAAGCGUGCGCAGGCGGUGCUGUAAGACAGGCGUGAAAUCUCCGUGCUCAACCUGGGAAUUGCGCUUGUGACUGCAGUGCUGGAGUACGGCAGAGGGGGAUGGAAUUCCGCGUGUAGCAGUGAAAUGCGUAGAUAUGCGGAGGAACACCGAUGGCGAAGGCAGUCCCCUGGGCAUGUACUGACGCUCAUGCACGAAAGCGUGGGGAGCAAACAGGAUUAGAUACCCUUGUAGUCC
rnacentral:rRNA from 1 species